AUCACCCCCCUCACCACCCUCAGCAUCACCCCCACCCCCCUCAGCAUCACCGCCCCCCCAUCCUCAGCAUCAGGGUGAGGGUGGUGGGGGUUGAUGCUGAGGGUGGUGAGGCUGAGGGUG